AAUGAACGCUGGCGGCGUGCUUAACACAUGCAAGUCGAACGAGAAAGUACCUUCGGGUGCGAGUAGAGUGGCGCACGGGUGAGUAACACGUAGGUAAUCUGCCUUUUGGUGGGGGAUAACCAGGAGAAAUCCUGGCUAAUACCGCAUAAGUAAGUAAUUAGAAAGGAUGCUCCGGCAUUCGCCGAAAGAUGAGCCUGCGGGACAUUAGUUUGAUGGUGGGGUAAUGGCCUACCAUGGCUUCGAUGUCUAGCUGGUCUGAGAGGAUGAUCAGCCACACUGGAACUGAGACACGGUCCAG
rnacentral:rRNA from 1 species